rnacentral:pre_miRNA from 1 species
GUACUACUCCCUCCGUUUCAUAAUUCUUGUCUCAAAUUUGCCUAAAAAUGGAUGUAUCUAUUCCUAAAAGGUGUCUAGAUACAUGUAAUAUUUCGACGAGAAUUAUGGAACGGAGGUAGUACAAU